UUGUUUCAACGUAAUUGUUUGUCGCUAGGUAUUAAAAAACAAAGGCAUCCAAUAUUUUCACUUUGUCAUAAGACCCACCCUCACAGUAACGAGCCACUUUCCUUCUUCGUGAGUAACGAACCCCUUUUCUUCUUCUUCUUCUUCUUCUCCUCCUCUAAUCUUCCCAGAUGCGCUACAAAGUCAUCUCUUUUCUAAAAGACUGGUGUGUCUCUACUUCUUUCUCUGUUUAUUAGCAAAUUUUCUACAGUAAAUUUUUUAGGGUUUUGGUAGAUGUAAAAUAAAUCAAGCAUUUCACCUCUUCCCUCUUUUUCUUUGUAGUAUGUGAAGUUAAAUAUGAAGUAGAAGUUGACAUAUUCUGGGUAUGUCUCAUUUGUGCAUAAAUAUGUAUAUUUUUACUACUUAUUGUUGCUAAAAUAUGAUUUGGGGGUUUCCUUUGUGUUGAACUCUUGAUUUAUACCAAUUUUGGUGAUAUUUGGUGAUUAAAAUCAAAGAUAGGUGUCUUUAGAUCUGUGUGAGCGAAGUUAGCCUUCACUCACCCGUUGUUGUCAGCUUGGUGAAGCCCACCCAAUUCAUUCUUGUCCCUUAAGCUAAUUUAUUUCAGAUCCUUUUAAUUUUCUACUCAAUUAUAUACCCACCAAGUGUUUGUAUCUUUUUCUAGACCUCUCUGUUCUCGUUAUUAAGCAAUAAGAAUGCAUAGUAACUUCUGUUUUUAAUGAAUUAGCAUGUGUGACAGAGAAAACCUAUCCUAAACGAUUUUGUAUGGUAUAUUCUCUAAAGUGUUUGCAAAAGUCCUUCUUAGAGAUGAUUAUGGUUCCUCCAUGUGGGUUAAUAGGUUACUUAGUAGUUAUUUUUAAGUGUUAAGUAUUUGACUACUUGUGUUGUUAGCUCAAGCAAAAUUUGAGCUUCAAUUUUGGUGAUAUUUGGUGAUUAAAAUCGAAGUUAGGUGUCUUGAGAUAUGUGUGGUUCCCAAUUUCUUCAAGGUGAAGUGCUGGAAAACUCUACUUAGAGCCAUAGAUCUACUGAAAAUUGAAACUCAAAUGGUUGCAUUAGACAAUUGGACUGCCUCGCCCUUUUGCGCAUCAACAAGAACAAUGUCUUUUGAAACAAUUAGUCGACCACUUGUGUUCUUGGAAGGUUGUUGUUGUUUGCUACUGCCCUUUUGCGCAUCAACAUGUUUAUCACCCAUCCCAUCAUCAUCCAACACAUGUUCAUUCAUCAAAACACCAAAAGAGUUAGCAACACUAAGUGCCUUUGAUGCUUCUGGCACAUUAGUCUGCCUCUAACCAGUAGUGUUUUGCCCAGAUCCUGUAGUAAUAACAUUAGAAACCUUAGCUCCUUGAAACAUUAAUUAAACAACAUCAGUAACAGCUCGAUCAGCUGUAGUAUUGAACGCACCAACAGUAGCAACAGUAGGUUUCAAACUCCCAGAAGCAGGUUGCUCAACUCCAGCUAAAAGUUGAAGAUGUUUAGCCUCUAUAUUUGAUGCUUUAUAACAUGUAGUAGCUUCACACUCCAAAUCCAUAACACCUACAUGAUCUUGCCCCUCAUCAGCCACAACAGUAGCUUUGAGGCCUAUUGAUUUAUCAGUUGAUUCAUCAACUGCAGCAGCAGGUCGAUCGCGCACCAAAUAUUUAGACAACUGAUCCUCCUUGAUCACCGCCUUAUCACCUGUAGCAACUGUAACAUUCACUCCUGUUGCAUUCAAAGCACUAGUAGUCUCCAAAUUUGCAUUCACACAUUCACUCUGUCGCUAACCUGUUUAGCGAUGAAAAUAUACUAUUUAGUUACAGAAUUCGUCCGUCGCUAAAGCCUGGUUUUUUUGUAGUGGCGAUGGACCUUGUGCAAUCGCGCAGAAAACCCCCCUAGGCAGAACACUUUUAUUUCGGGACUUGGCCCAUUUCUCUCACAUUUCCAAUUGGUCUUUGGCAAAUUUGAGAGCACUUUUGUGGGGGAUUUUCAUCAACAUCAUAAGGUAAGUGAUUUCUAUCAAUUCUUCACUUAAAUACAUGGAUUAUGGGUAGAUUUAACAUGGAAUCAAUAAAAAUUUGUGGGAUUUUUUAAAAAUGGGAUUUGAACAUGAAAUUGAUUAUGGAAUUGGGAAUAUAUUUAUAUUUGAGUUCGAAGGGUCAUGGGUAACAAUUAUCUUCGAAUAUUUUCGUUAUCCGAGCACGUGGGCCCGAGGUUAAAUUUUAUGGACUUGCCGAUUUGGGUUGGAAAAUUACUCUAAUAGAUAAAUUAUGACAUUUUGAGCAUAUAUUGAUUAGUUUGUAUGACUUUUGACUAGUUUUGGAUUGCUCGACAUCAUUUGGGAAUUUCUAGUGAGGUUUAAGAGCUGAGUAGUGAGCUUGGAGGCGAAGUAAGUCUCUUGCCUAAUCUUGUAAGAGGGAGUUAUCUAUGUACGUGUAUUAAUUGUUGUGUGCUACAUUUUGUGGAAGCUACAUAUGCACUUGGUGAUGAGAGUCCAUAUAUUUCUUGAUUCAUGCUUAUGUCCUUGUAGAUUUAGAUUCACAUCAUGCUUCAAAUGUGCUAUUUAGCUUAACCUUGUUUUUUUUUAUUUCAUUAAUUCAUGACUGAGAUCGAGACUUGAAUAAAAAUAAUGACCAAGUUCCGUGUCUUCUCGACUUGCAUGUAUUUUCGCGAUUAACAGAGUUUCUAUAUUCUUAUGGGAUCGGGCCAUUCGCCUCGUGCGUAACACUUGCUAUUUGGAGUAGUAUUGAUAUUAGUUAAUAAUGCACCUUCGAGGUUGGUUAUGAUAUCUUAGUGAUUUCGUAAUAAUCUAUGUUUGGAAGUUUAUUAUUUAAUCUUAUUUUUGUUGUUGUUACUGAUGUGUUUCAUACAUGUCUACUUAUGUAUUUUAUUAUUUUGGUCACUAGUAAGUGUCAAUUCGACCCCUCGUCAUUACUUCUUCGAGGUUAGGCUAGAUACUUACUGGGUACAUAUUGAUUUACGUACUCAUGCUACACUUCUACACUGAUUGUGCAGGUACUGAGACAGGUACUUUCAGUGGUCACACGGCGCAUAGCCGCACUUCACGGAGACCUAGUGGUGAGUUUCUUUCCUUGCGUCGACCUAUAGCACCCGGAGUCUCCCUCUUCCUUAUUUACUGCUUCUGUCUAUUUCAUUUCAGAUAAUAGAUAUAGUUGUUUUCUAUAUUUCCUAGAUUGCUCAAGCACUUGUGACACUAGGUUUUGUGUGCUUUUAGUGGACUUUCACAUUUGUACUUGUUGUUACUAUCACAUUACUUUAUGUACUCUUUGUACCUGUUAUUUUGGUAAAGCAUUGCGUAUGUUUCCAUGAGUUUCAUGUGUAGUUCCUAUUUAUUUAAUUAGAAUUCUAAGUUUAAAGGCUAAGUUGGAUAAUUAAAUUGGAGAUUCACUGUUGGCUUGCCUAACUACAUUGUUGGGCGCCAUCAUGAACGAUUAUGGGAUUUGGGUCGUGACACUGUAAUCCCUCAAGUAAUUGAUCAAGUAUGAUGUGGUUAGAACCUAUAGAAUUCCCCAGCAUAGUCGACGUAUUGUUGUACCCUAUUUUUACAUGAGUUAAAAUAAAAUACAACUUAUGGUACUCUAUAAGGUUAAUUAGAGUUAUAGUGUCGCCACCUAGUAUUUAAGGUACACUAGGACACCUAUAUUACAUUAUGUAAUGUACACUUUGAUUAUGGUCUACGAAAUUAUUGGGAUUCAAGGUAAGGGUUCAAAUUAUAUCAAGGAAAAGGGGUUAGGCAUCUCUCAAGAUCCAGAAAAUGUGAUUCCUGGUGGACUUGUUCUAAUAAGGGUGGCAUAAAGUAAAUAAUGAUUAAUUUGAUAUAUACAAACAAUGGUAAAAGUAGUUCGAAGGAGGAGUAAUUGAACAUGAAUGUCACGCGGUAAAAUAUAAACAUAUUUGUAUAAUAAAUUAUAUACAAAGGGUGUAAAUAAAGUAUAUGAGAAUUAUAUUUUGAUGACUUGGUUAAAUAUAAAGAAUAUAUGUAGUAACAAGUAGAGUAUUUGUAAAUUAAAUAAAAAAAUAAUAAUUAAAAGAAUACACUUUAAAGAAUUUGAUUUAUGUCCAAAGGUUAACUACUUUGAGUGAAAGGCUAAAUGUAAGAAAAGGGAAAACUUACUCCAAAAUAAUUGUCCAAAAGUGGGAAAAGAAUUGUCUUGAAUAAUCUUAGUGUAUAAUGAAUAAAGUGAAAGAAUUAAUCCGAUGAAGAAAGAAUGAAUAUGAUAAGAAUAUGUAUAAAUAUAUAAGAGAAACAUUCGUAAUAGAAAACGAGUUGUAAUACAAUGAAUAGCUACAAAGUCUAAAGAUUCAAAAAUAUGAUAGUCCAACUAUAACUUUACAAGUUAUGUCUACUUUAAGUGAAAAUAGCUAAGCAAUAAUUUACAAAUAGAUUGGUUUAUAAAUCAUGCUAGUAUAAUUGUAAAAGUGUAAAAGUUAUUUAUUUUUUUGGAAGGAGAUGAAAUACCCUAUUUUAUAAGACUAAUUUAAUUCGUUAGGUAUAUACCAAUCCUAAAUUAAGUAAUCAUGUUAUAAAAUGUGUUUUCAACAACCUAAGUACAUAUAUUCAACCUUUGCGAAGUAUCAAAUGCACAACAUUGCAAGUUAACCGGAUUAUUAACUAGAUGCAAUUCACCCUAGGUGUUUGUGUAAUGACCCGACCGAUUGUUUUGAUCAUUGGCCUUCCGUUUGGCUAUCUGCAGUCUUGAGUAGCUUUGUAUGAUGUAUUACGACUUGCGUGUAUGAUUGGUUUUGAUGUUCAAGAGGUUCAGGAUUGAUUUAGAAGAGAAAUAUUCCUUUUUGGAGGCUUAAAGUUAAAGAGUUGACCAAGGGUUAACUUUUGUGUAAAUGAUCUCAGAUUUGCAUUUUGAUAGUUCCAAUAGGUUCGUAUGGUGAUUUUGGACAUAGGUGUAUGUCCGGAUUCGUAUUUGGAUGCUCCUAGAAGGUUUUGGAUUUAUUUGGUAAAAGUUGGAAAUUUGAAGGUGUGAAAAGUUCAUAGGUUUGACCGGGAGUUGACUUCGAUGUUAUUGGGUUCGGAUUGUUGUUCUGGGAGUUGGAAUAGGUUCGUUAUGUCAUUUGGGACUUGUGUGCAAAGUUUGAUUUUUUCCCGAAAUGUCUAAGUGUGAUUCGGAAGCAUUUGGCGAAGUUGAAAAGUUUGGAAGUUUGGAGAAUGAUUUGAUCUUUGAUUCUUGAUUUUAUUGUUCUUUUUGAUGUUUUGAACCUUUGGACAAUUCCAUGUCGUGUAUUUGGACUUGUAGGAAUGACUGGAUGUGUCCCAAGGGGCCCCAGUGAGUUUCGUGGUGUUCGAGAAAGGUUUGGAAUGGUUAAAUUGCAGAACAUUUGGGAAUCAGGUUAAAGAGGCUUGCCUUAAGGGCUCACGUUGCACGAACCCCAGGCGCGACAUCAGAUGGGAUUUCCUUAAGGGCACGCGUUGCACGGCGCCAGGUGCUGAAAUUUCAGCCUUCUCUAUUUAAGUCUCAUUUCGUACAUAGACUUCAUUUUAUCAUUUUGGAAGCUACACAACUCGAAUUUGGGAGAUUUUAGAAGGAGAUUUAAUCUACAUCAUUGGGGUAAGGAAUCCUAACUUAGAUAUAUAAUUUCUACUUGAAUAUAUCAUUGAUUUUUUCUCUAAAUCAAGGGAUGAAAAAGGGGGAAAAGGGUUUUUGCUUGAAAGAUAAGAAAGUAUAUUUUGAGGUUUUGAGUACCGAUUUGGAUUCUAUUUUUGAAUCUUAUCAUAUAUUUGGACUCAGCAUAUUAUCGAUGUUCGGGAUUUGUGCAUUUUGUCGGGUUAUGGGGUGUGGUCCCUAGUUGACUUUGAAUAUUAAAUUAAAAUUUUGACUUUUAUCGUUCGAGUUUGAUUCAUAUGGUAUUAUAUGAUGUUCUUGGUUUUUUUUUUGCUAGAUUCUUAUUGUUUGGAGGUCGAUUUGCGUGGGAAGGAAUUUUUAGAGGGUGGAUUUGGCUUGUCUCGGGUAAGUGUCAUGUCUAACUUUGGUUGAGAGAACGUUUCCUACUAAUUGAUAUUAUUUUCUACAUGCGGGGGUGAUGUAUAUAUGAGGUGACAAGUGUAUAUACAUGUGCCAUGAGUAUCCAUGACCGGGGGUAGAUUUUAGAGUACUCUAUGCCUUAUUCGGUUGUGUGUUCUACUUGAUUCUAUGUAUUAUUCCAUUCAUUGACUAUGUGAGCGUAAUAAACCAUGCUAGAGCUAAUGUUAAGGUUUUUGGUGCCUUAGUUUGAUCAUGAUGAACUAAUCUUGAUAUUUAUGUUUCACUAGCCUUGAACGUAUGUUAUGAACACACAUAUAUACUUGUUCUUGUAUUNNNNNNNNNNNNNNNNNNNNNNNNNNNNNNNNNNNNNNNNNNNNNNNNNNNNNNNNNNNNNNNNNNNNNNNNNNNNNNNNNNNNNNNNNNNNNNNNNNNNNNNNNNNNNNNNNNNNNNNNNNNNNNNNNNNNNNNNNNNNNNNNNNNNNNNNNNNNNNNNNNNNNNNNNUAUGCCUUGAUUGGGAUGUGUGUACUCUAUGACUCAUAUGUGAUCCUUUAUAUGACUACUUGAACUUGGUUUCUAUACUUUACUUAGUCGUAGUCAUGCCUUAUCCUCAUUUUUAUUGUUUUCAUGUCCUUGUGAGGUUUAUUGAUGAGUUAUGAGGAUAUGCCUCUUGAUGAUAAAUUAUUGUAUUGCAUGGUUGUGAUUAUGGCACUUAUGGACAUGUUGAGCGGAUUGAUUGUGAUGAUAUUAUGGCACGAGGUCUUUACCGUGCGAUUGUAAUGAUAUUGUGGCACAAGGAGCGAUUGUGAUUGGGGUGUCAGCAUGAGGUCUUUGCCAUGAAAUUAUUAUUGUUGACAUUGCACAUGUGGCUAGACAAUGAGGCUUAUAUCAGAUUUGCACAUGUAGCUAGACAAUGUGGAAUGAUUUGUUAAUAUGCGCAUGGCGAGACAAGGCGGGAAAUUACUUUAUUUUAGUACAUGCGGUGAUAUGCGGAUUGUACUGUGAUGUUGUAUGUGAUAGUUUUGGGGGUUAUUCUUGCUGAGAUUGUGUGAUGUUUCUGGAUGUCAUUUCUGAUAUUAUUGUUGUGAUGGGAUGGAAGUAAUUUGUUAAUUCUGUACUCGUUUUCACUUGAACUUCGUGUUGUAUUUUCAUAAAUUAUUGAAUUUGCUUCGUCAGGCUAUUUCAUAUGCCUUCUCUUCUAUUUGAUAAUUUUGUUGUAAAAAUAGGUUAACCUACGUGGAGUUGAUAUCUUAUCUUUUGUUGAGAUUUUGGUAGCAUAUCGGAUUGUCAAGAUAAGAAAGUUGCCAUCGAACAUUGAUAUAGUUGAUUCUUGAAAGGUUCUCUUGAACAUGUUAUUUAGCAUUUGAUAUGGAAUCAGAUCAUGUUGUGCACAAAUUUAUAGUCAUGUAUGAGCAUUGAGCACAAAAUUUAUGUAGUACAUACCUCUUUGUGAGCUGGGGUUGGUGCAAGUUGUAUUUGUUGAUCAUAUCUAAUUGGUAGAGUUUGUUUAUUACCUCAUCCCAGUUGUGCACCUUUAAUGUUGAUAUUCUUUACUCUGUGAUUGUCUUUCUGGAAUAUUUUUCCUGUAUUAUACAUGUUAUUGAGCUGCACAAGUUCUACAAAGUGAGUGUCUUUUGCCUUAAAAACCUCGCCAUUGCUUCUCUAAUGUUAGUCAAGAUACUUACUGAGUAUAUGGGGUAAGUUGUACUCAUACUACACUUUUACACCUUGCGUGCAGAUUUUGGAGUUGAGUUGCUGCAAACACGGAGCUUUACAUCAGAGUUGUACCAGCGUGCCGGAUUCAAGCUACUUUUUGUUCAUAGUAACUUAGGAUUUCAUUUCUCUUUAUGUAACUUUCAAACAAAUAUUGUAUUUAUCUCUCACAUUAGUUUUGUAAAUCCAAAUCACUGUGGCUCAUGACUUGUACUACUAGUCCUUGGGGUAGUUGUAUUAAAUGUUUUUGCAGUCUCAUUUAUGAUAUUGAUGAUUUCUCAUUCUAGUAGUAGUUUAUAUUGUUUGUCUUACCUAGUGGUUAGUUAGGUGUCAUCACAAUAUUUGUGGGAUUUUGUAUUGUGCAAGUUGGUUUCAAAGCUCUAGGUUCAUAGGUUAUACGAGUAAUGGGCAAGUGUCUAGUAGAGUCUUACGGAUCGGUAUGAUGGCGUCCAUACUUAUCUUUGAAAGCCUAUAGGGCAUUUAGGAAACUUCCUAUCUU
rnacentral:lncRNA from 1 species